rnacentral:tRNA from 2 species
GGAGAGAUGGCUGAGUGGUUGAUAGCUCUGGUCUUGAAAACCAGUAUAGUUCCGAACAAAGAACUAUCGAGGGUUCGAAUCCCCCUCUCUCCU